GACGAACGCUGGCGGCGUGCUUAACACAUGCAAGUCGAGCGGUAAGGCCCUUUCGGGGGUACACGAGCGGCGAACGGGUGAGUAACACGUGGGUGACCUGCCCUCAGCUCUGGGAUAAGCCUGGGAAACUGGGUCUAAUACUGGAUAUGACUCCACGGUGCAUGUCGUGGGGUGGAAAGCCUUGUGCGGCUGAGGAUGGGCCCGCGGCCUAUCAGCUUGUUGGUGGGGUGAGGCCUACCAAGGCGACGACGGGUAGCCGGCCUGAGAGGGCGACCGGCCACACUGGGACUGAGACACGGCCCAGACUCCUACGGGAGGGCAGCAGUGGGGAAUCUUGCGCAAUGGGCGAAAGCCUGACGCAGCGACGCCGCGUGAGGGAUGACGGCCUCGG
rnacentral:rRNA from 1 species